rnacentral:piRNA from 1 species
UGUGCUAGAGAGGGCAAUCCAGUCG